UCGGGAAUAUUGCGCAAUGGAGGAAACUCUGACGCAGUGACGCCGCGUGCAGGAAGAAGGUUUUCGGAUUGUAAACUGCUUUAGACAGGGAAGAAAGAAAUGACGGUACCUGUAGAAUAAGCUCCGGCUAACUACGUGCC
rnacentral:rRNA from 1 species